UGUCUGUCUGCUGUCUGUCUGUUUCUGCCAACCUAGAACCUGUGGUGUCUGGAUUGAAUGGAACGCCCCUAACAGCAAGAACAAAAUUGAGUUUAGAUGUUUUUGGAGUCACUUCAUCAAUGACAGUCACAGGAUACUACAGCAGAUGGCCUUGCAGUUGCUAAAUACACCUGGGCCUGCCAUAGCAUCCCUGGUAAAGAAGGGGCCUACAGUGUUGGGAACCAGUUAAGGACUGUGUCGGCUACUUGAAGCAGAGAUGGAAGUACUGAGGUGCACUUGAGAGGAAGUAAGAGGUGUUUAAUGAAUAGAUUACACUAACAUGAUCCACUGCUAGUUGUGGGAGUGUCACCUCCUUGUGACUAUUCCUUCCUUGUAUCCUUGGGUACCCUCCCCUGUUCUUUUGUGUCACACCUUUGAUGUUUCUAUUAUACUCUAGGGGGUUGCCUCCAGAGAACCAGUGUAGUCCUAAGCACGUUGUUCUGCACCAUCUUUCAGGACUCGGGUAAGGCUUUUGGGACCAGCACAGUUGCGUGCCGCUGCUUCUUGCCUCCAGGGAACCAAACCUCCACACUCAUCUGGACACAGCCUUGGAGCUCUUCUGUGGCCAAGCCAAUGAGAAACUUUUAUCAGUAUAGUAUUUCUCUAUAGAGAAUUGGCUUUUUCUUUUUGUAGCACUUCUAUACUGGCAAAGGAUCUGGUGUAGAUUCAUUUAUACCUGCAAAAAGUGAUUUUUGUUUGUACUGUUUAGUGUGCUGGAGGAACUGGCAUAAGUUAUAUUAGCAAAAAGCACUUGAUCCUAUAAAAUGCAUCUAUACAAAGAGGUUUUGGAAGUGUGGCUGUUCUGACAGUCAUUCCACCAUGCUUUGACGAGGGAAAACCUUGCAUGAUGUUCCUUUCUAUUUCUUAGCAGCUGCAUAAAAGAGGAGCUGACAUGCAAAACCAACUCUUGAGAUCAGGGGUGGCAAACCUGUGACAGGUGACACAAGUAGCCUGGGCAGCUUCUGUGUGGCAUGCUGCAGAACAGGAAGGGAACAGGGAACACAGCAGCAGAUAGGAAGCAGAAAACUGCUUCCUGCUCAAUCUGAUACUCUGAGUACAGAGCAGAAAGUACAGUAGCAGAUCAGGCCAGGGAAGGGGACCAGAGUGCCACUUGAAAGACCUGGGGCUUACCUUAUGGCACACCUACCAAAAAGUUUGGCCUUAGUAGUUUAGAUCAAUGGUUCUCAACCUUUUCUGUACCAGGACCCAUUUGUAAACAUUGAUGGCCAGUCCUGACCCACUUCUCUUCACUCCUGACCUGCUGGCCCCCAACCCCAGGCCCCAGCCCUCUAGUGUGUGCGGCAGGGUGGGCUGUGUGUGGGGCACAGGGGGCCCAAAACAGCCCCUUUCAGGCUAGAACUCUACCAGCCUGUCAGGGGAGAGCCAGUUUUCCAUGUUUUCUCCUGUAAAGGAGAAUCCAUUUUUAAAUUUUGCUGAUCCAUUUUUAAAGUCUGUUUGUGACCCUUUCAUAUAUUUUUAUGACCCACCUUUGGGUCAUGACCCACAGGUUGAGAAAUACUGCUUUAGACCAUAUUUAAGACCAGCAGGUUGAGACUACGAAGGCAUUUCCCAGGAAAAGUCUAAAAGCAAGAAGGCAAGAAAAGGUAAUUGAGGUGCAGUCUGUUACAGUGGACACACAGGGAGCUUAUCUAGUGGGAAAGUCACAUGCAAUAUUACCACAGCAAGAACCUCUUCUUCUAAAAUAGAAAAGCAGAACAAAUGCAUACAUUCAUGUUUUUAUCCAGUAGUAAAAGGUAAAUUUUCUGAAAUCAUCUUUUGAAACUUUAUGUGUUUCUUGAGGGAGGAAAAUUUGUGUGUGUAUGAAUUAGUCCCUCCUGUGAAUAUAGAAGGUGGGGUAAAGCCAAUUUUAAAUUUGUAGUGUGUGAGAAAAGUGAAUUCUCAAUGCUGAGAUGCAAAUUUUAUAUUUCCUAAGUGAUCACAUGCACCACGCCCAAAGAAGAGCGGGGGCCAGGGCAGAGACCUCUAAAAUCACAAUUAAAAAACCAUAGAAAUGCUCAUCCUGCAGAUCAUAACUCCCAAGGAUCAAAAGACCAUCAGGACAGAACAGAAGGGCAUGGUUCCUCAGAGGAAAACAUGCCACGUAUGUCCGAGAAAACCAUAUGUAAAAACACAAGGAUUCACACCCCCAAAACAGGUGAUCUGGGCCCUGUGAAUAAGAAACUGAGGAUCGGUUGCUCACACAUUUUAGAGAAAGAAGAGAGUCUUUCUCCUUUUUUGAAAGAUCAUGGUUAUUGUGAAAAAAGAGGGUGGGUUUGGGUAAUGCUUAUUGGCAUAUGCAUCCUAUAAAGAGUGUGGAGAGUACUAUGAAAGAUCAUGGUAAUUGUGAAAAAAUGAGGGUGGGUUUUUGGCGUGGGGGUAACCACCUUGUCUUGAAAGAUCAUGAUUAUUGUGAAAGAAAUUGUGGGUUUGGGGUGGUGUUGGCAGGUGUAUACAUCUCAGAAAGAGUUUGCAGAGUGCUUUGAAAGAUCAUGAUUACUACUGGAGCAAAAGGGUAAAUUUUACUCAGAGAGGAGGUAGUCUGUGUAAUUCGGACAGCAGUUGUGGCAUGCAUCAUAAGAGGGGGAGUCAUGGUAACCCUGGGGGUAAGAAUGGGUGGCUAAGCAGCAAGUGGCUCAUGGGGUGAAAAGUAAGGGCCUGGUUAAAGGGAAGCAUGGGGAAGGCUAAACACCAGUUGAGAAAAAAUAAGAGAUUGCCUAGUAAUGGCACUUUAGAAGGCCCCUCAAAUGCCUCCCCUCCUCCCAGGCCUGACCUUCCACCAGGAGCUGAGGUGCCAGAGAGGGGAGAUGGUGAAUAUGAUUUAAGAAGCCCUUUAGAGGGCCCCUCAAAUGUUCCCCGGCCUCCCAGGCCUGACCCACCACCAAGACCUGAAGAGUCAGAGAGUUGGGCUAGUGAAUCUGGUGUAGAAGGCACUUUAGAGAACCCCUCAAAUGUCCGCCAGUCUCCUGAGUCAGCAGAGGAUGUUUUACUGGACGUACAUAUGGUGCUGGUGAGAAGACAAGAGUGGUCUGUAGCCAGGUUUGGGGGCAUGAGGUACACAGAGGAGUUCUGUUUUGUGAAUCUGGAGCACGUGUACCAUUACAAGUGACAUACAAAGCCAUAACCAGAGGGAGAGGGGUAGAAGAAAUUGUAGCAGAAUUCCACCAGAGAUUCACGGACAAUGAUUAUGCCCAGUUACAUAUUCAGCCAGAUAGCAUGGCAAACUGUUCAUACUCUCAAUCUAUUAAUUUAAUCUAGAUGACCCCAGAGCUGUUUUUAGAGUGGAUCAGUAACCUGUUACAAAGUCAGAGAGAAAUAUUGCUUGAUUCUACAUUUUGGCUGGUUGUGGUCAUUGUGAGAGGCAUCCAUCAAGUACCUUUGUUUGAAGACCUUGAACAGGUUAACAUUCAUAUAGUGAUGCAUAAGGAAAAAAUGGGUGUGGCUUAUUUAAAACACAGGACACACCCAGAUACCCCAACACCUGUUUUCUUUUGCUGCAUGGUGAACAUCAGUACGGUAUUUUGGAUGUGAAAAAGUUGUUUGGCAUAAGAAAUUAUUGCGCUCUUUGUCAGAUGUUAUACAGCCAUAGUCACACGUGCAGGCUCUGAUGUCAUCUUUGCCUGAGCCUGAACUGUGCUGAAAAAGUGGGUAAGACACAGAGGUGCCCUAAUUGCAAGCUGUUUUCUCAUUCCAAAGAGUGCUUAGAAAGGCACAUGGCCCUGGCCUCUGAAAAGCAGAUUGAAUGUCUGACUAAAACUCUGCGAUGAGUAUAAAUCUUAUGUGAACAAAAAGCACGAGUGCAAAGGGAGGCAGUGCAAACAGUAUUAUAGGAAAAUCAUGGAUGUAAACAAGCACUGCUGUUUUAUGUGCCAGAUUAAAAAGCUUGAAGAAGGUGAGGGUACAUUUUUUAUGAUUUUUAAUGUGUGCAGGAGACAGGGAUGCAAGUGCCCAAAUACAUUUUUGCAAUGGAGCUAAAGACAGGGGGAAAAAAACCUCAGAAAUCUGCAGGCAAAACUCCAAAAAAAUGUCGUAAAGCUAAGCCCAAAAAGCCAGAAAGCACUUGGGAGUUUAAGGGUGAAGAGUGUCUGUCUAAUUUUAUUAAGGUCUUUAUGGAUAAAAAGCUCAAGGACUAUGCCUUCAUAGCUCACAACACGAAAGGCUAUGAUGGUUAUUUCAUUGUUAGCCAGUUAUUAAAGGAAAAAAUGGGCAUGAAAUUAAUCACCCAGGGCAGUAAACUCAUGUGCAUUGAAGUGACCAGGCUAGGCAUCUGUUUAAUAGAUUCUUUAAACUUUUUGCCAAUGAAACUUAGAAGGCUUCCACAGGCAAAGGGGUUUGAAGGAUGCAAAGGUUUGAAGGAAAGGUUAUUUCCCACAUUUUUUUAAUACGGCAGAAAACCAAAAUUAUGUGGGGCAUCUCCCAAAGGUGGAGAACUAUGGCAUUGAAAAUACGAUAUCCAGGGAGAAAUGUUAGGGUGACAAUAUUUGGAUCGUGGGGAGCACUGGGUGUGAAGCUGAAUAAAGGCUUUUUCCUGUGUCUCAGCAAAAGCUGCUGGUCACAAGGCAGGAUGAUGUAUUAAAAAGUAACUAACUCUGCAAAUGCUUAAGCAAGCAAUUUGAAUAUGAUACAGACCAACGGCUAUCGUUAGGGGAUAAAGCAGAAGUGUGGCCUUGGAGAUGGUGCUGAAAUCAGCAAAGAACCAAAAAGAACCAACAAGAAUCCACAAUUGACUGAGAGAAGACGGGGUCAAAGUCUUAGGCAUGCUCUCUUAGCAGAUAGGCAUGUAAAUGAAUGAAAUGCAUAAUCAAUACAAUGUUAAUGAAACAAAAAGUUAACAGAGGUGGAGCUUGAGACCGGAGGAGAAAUGGGUAGAACUGAAGGAGGGUCAUAGGUGGGAUAAAUGUUAAUGAGCAUGAACCAAAGUGUAUAAAUGUGAAAAGAACUAAUGUUUGGGGCAGGUCCCCGGUAUAUUGUUUUUUUGGAAACUGGCCCGAAGCUGUCUCCAUUCUGAAUAAAGCUGUUGUGAGCAAUGUGUCCUAGUGUUUGCUCCCUGCUUGCUCUGGCUAAUGAGCAAUUGGAUCAUCAUCUCCCUAGUCACUGGGUGCCGUAUGGAGUCAGGGUCUAACAAGAAAGAACAGUUUUUAGAAUGGUAUCAGGAUAACCGCGAUAAGACCUUUGACAUGCAAAAGGAGCUGGCCUAUUAUUGCCAGCAGGACGUAAAAAUUUUGAAAGAGGCCUGCUGCCUUUACAGGGAUGAGAUUAUGAAAAUGACACAAUGGGUAGACCGAGUGAAAAUAGAUGGUGAACUCCAAAACAUAGAAUGCUGCAUAGAUCCUUUCCAAUACAUCACACUGACUUCCAUCUGCAUGGCCAUGUACAGGUUUAUGUUUUUGGAACCACAGACCAUGGCGCUUCUCCCCACAGACAACUAUCACAGACAGGAACAAAGGUUUUCAACCCCAUCUAUCCAGUAGAUAAUGUACAUUUUGGAGAAAAAAAAUAUUCAAAUUCAACAUGCCUUACAGGGUGGGGAAUUUCAGGUAGGCCCUUAUUUUUUAGAUGGCUAUGCCAACAUUGAUGGGGAACCUAUGGGGUUUGAAUUUAACAGGUGUUUUUUCCAUGGUUUAGAUUCAUAGAUUCAUAGAUGUUAGGGUCGGAAGGGACCUCAACAGGUCAUCGAGUCCCACCCCCUGCAUAGGCAGGAAAGAGUGCUGGGUCUAGAUGACCCCAGCUAGAUGCCUAUCUAACCUCCUCUUGAAGACCCCCAGGGUA